GUUGGAGAUUUCAAUGCACAUCCUUGGAUAAUAGAUGAUGGUUGUCGGAUAUGUCAUAACUAAGUUGAUAGCAUUGGAUGGGUGGCAAAGGAAAGGAGAUCAUAGCCGAAUCUUCAAUCCAACAUUGGAUCUGGUCUUGAAAUAUCAUUGAUAGGAAAGUCCUCUUAUUGGAGAAUGUAUGGUGGGGCUCUUCAAUGUCCAAGUCAAAUA
rnacentral:lncRNA from 1 species